ACCAGAGCCCUGAACUGGGAUUCCAGGAGAUUUGGUGCAAGGCUCAGGGGAUUGUUGUCUGCUCACAUUGAGACCCAGGUCGUUUCAUUCCUACGGGGGUCUGAGGGAACUCUGAUUCUGUAUUAGGCUGGACUGACUGGCAAAUCGAUCUGAGCUAUGAGUGCCGGGAGGGACCAAGGCUUUUUUAAAGAAAUUCCUCACAAAAGCCAUUUUGUGAAGUCUGGAGUGCUGGACGCAUCAUAUGAAGGCACUUACGUUUUUGGUUUGGAAGACACAGUGCUGCUGUCACUUCCCUUUGUUUGAAGGAAUGGGAUUUCUCUAGUGUUGUGAACAUACUGCUGGUCAUUUUCCCUCAAGGGAAAAAAAAAGCUUUAUUUCCUGCCCCCCCCCCCCAGAAACUGUGGGAGAUAGAGAUGUCUACAAAAGAAUCAAGAAGAUAUGAGAAGUAGGAUGUGAAUGUCAUUGUUCUUUAUUGCAGAUGUGUCAAUGUUGGGUUGGAAUAA